GUUUAACGGCCGCGGUAUUUUGACCGUGCAAAGGUAGCGCAAUCACUUGUCUUUUAAAUAAAGACCUGUAUGAAUGGCAUAACGAGGGCUAAACUGUCUCCUUACUCCAGUUAAUGAAAUUGAUCUCCCCGUGCAGAAGCGGGGAUUAACCCAUAAGACGAGAAGACCCUGUGGAGCUUUAGAUGAUAGAUGGAUUUAUUAAAAAAUUAAUACCAAAUAAAAGGUAAUUAAAACGAUGACCUCAUCUUAAAUCUUUAGUUGGGGCGACCGCGGAGUAAAACAAAACCUCCGUGAGGAUUGAGAUGAAAACCUUAUACCCAAGAAUGUCAUUUCUAAGUACCAAAAUAUUUGACCAAUUGAUCCGGCAACAGCCGAUUAACGAACCUAGUUACCCCAGGGAUAACAGCGCAAUCCUCUUUGAGAGUCCCUAUCGACAAGAGGGUUUACGACCUCGAUGUUGGAUCAGGACAUCCUAAUGGUGUAG
rnacentral:rRNA from 1 species